CUCUCUUUCUCUCUCUCUCUCCUUCCUUCGUUCUCCCCCUUUUUUCCUGGCCGUUUGCCGCGUCCGGCGGCGAUCUUAGGCGCGGCCACCACGUCCAUCCGCACAUUUUUCUUCCGGCCGUGUAUCAGACUGCUGCGGUCGAGGGUUGCGCUUUGUGUGCAGCCUCGAUGCCCCUCGUUCGAUCGUAUUAAACGGGGAAAAACGGGGAAAAAAUUCGGGCGGGAAUAACCAUUAGCUUAAUGUCUUGUGUCGAACGGGUCUAUGUGUAAUGUUGUACGUGAAGAUUCGAUCAAGUGUUUCGGACGUAGAGACGAAUAAGUCGGUUUUUAUUUUUGUUGCGUUGAUUAAUGCAUGCCUGUUGGGAAGAUUGAGUAUUGGAUCUGUAUAAAGUGUGCUUCCUUGUUGGAUGAAACGUUUUGAUAUUGCUAUGGAUAAUAAAAUUUUGUUAGUAUUUCUUAGUAUUUCUCGGCCAGCGUGUAUUCUCACAUUAUAAGAAUUAAAUUUCAUCUUCGCUGAUUUCAUUAUUAAUUAAAUAUUGAUUCCAUUCUCGGAUACGAAUCAAUAGAAAUCAAAUAAUUGCAAGUAAGAAACUAAGAAAAUAUAUACGUAUAUUUAACACGGCUAUUAUUUUCUCGUAUCCGGAAAAUUUCUCAUUGUAACGAAACGUGCAAUUUACCAAGGAAAAUCGGCUGGUGAAACGGAAUUGAAAUAUAGAUAUUUUGGGUAAUUGCGUUUCAAUGCAAAAUUCGAAAAAAACUGGGGAGGAGAGCGAACGGUGGUCCGGCUUUUGAAUGUUUGCACGGCGGAAGUGUGGCCGGCGGCGGCCUCGGCGGAAAUAAAAUUUUUGGCAACGUUUCAAUGACAACGAGCCACCGUGGCUCGCGUACCACGUUUUUUAAUUAACUAGCUACAAGUAUUCCCGGACGAUGAUAAUUUUCAACAGUGGAUCCGGAAAGUAGGCCACUCCAUGGAAUGAGCUAUGUCGCAUCCGCAGGAAUAUGUCGAUUUACGACUUCCUUUCUGUUGUAAAUGUAUAUAUUGUCGAAGAGUCGUGGAUGGAAAAAGAAAAUUUCUUUUCGUCUUUCGAACACUACGCGAAAAAAAAGUAUAAAUAAAUUCAAUCACAAAGGAUCCGUCCAGUCGACACUAUUUCGCGUACAUUGCAAAGCUUACCGCAUUACCGGUAUAUUAAACAUCGUACAGCCAGUUUGAAAUGACGGCUCUCCGGAGAGGCAGAAGCUCGAGAGUCAGAAAGACAGCGCCGAGAGGGGUAGAGGACGAAUGAGAGAGUGGCGUAUGGUACACGCAGUCUGGCGCAUAGUCUCUGUAUAAUUCAGUCAUAUCCAUGCUAAUCCCACCGGCCGGCUCACGUUAUUCUCCAUGAUGGAUGCACAGCCACCGGAGAAUUGCCCUUUUCAUUGAAAUACAACUAAAAUUAAACUCAUUUGUUGCUCCCUCGGCGGGGAUAACGAUACUGUCCAUUUUGUUUUCUUGGGAUAAAUACUUUCUUCGAGGAAAUUCGAUAUUUUGGAGGACAAGAACCGUAACAGAAUAAUUGAAUUAUUUGCUAUAUGCAAAAAAAAAGUUUGAUAUAAAAGUUACAACAAACGUACAAAGGAAGACAUUAAAUGCAUACUUUUGCAAAUAGAUUCUAAUCGAUACGGAUUUUUAUUUAGUUGUUGGAAAAAAUAUUGCUCUGGAUAGCAAUAACUACAAGUCUGCAUUCUUUGUACUUUAUAUUCUCGAAUGAUAAAUUUUUAAUAAAACUGUAAAUCAACAUUUUCUUCUCCUAUUUAAAUUCAUAAAAUUUGGCCAUUAUACUACGCUUCUGAGUUAUUGAGAGUGAUCACACUUUAAUUCACAUAUAAAUAUUAAGAAUUAUUAUCUUGAAUUAGAUAAAUAAUUAGAUGAUUCGAUAAGAUUUUUCAAAGUGUAUAAAGCAGAUGGAAUAAUAUUGGAGAAGAUGGUUUAACUGAAAAAUCGUAAGGCGAUCGGUCAUAUAAUACGUUCAAUAAAUAGAAACGUAACAACAGAUGUGCCGGAUACUUAUUCGACAGAUGUGUCGAUAUUUUCUCAUGGAAAGAGCACAGCUCAGAGAGACAUGGUUGGUAAUAUUGGGAGAAAGCAUCGCGCGUCGCAAGAAAGGUUUUUGCGGAGGGUUUAGGAAAAUGUCGAUUAUAUUACACGCAUAAAAUGAUAAUCGACGAAUACGAAUGUUAUAUGUAUAAAAAAAAAGGAAGAAAAAGGGAUAUUCGAAUAUCAAUCGGAAUUGGAUACUAUAUUUUGAAACCUGCAUGAAAUCGACAUGCAUGGAAAGAAUAUAUAUACGUUCUCCAAAAUAUAUAUAUAUAUACUUUAUAAAAAAUAGAAUAUUUAUGAAAUAUUUAAUUAUAAUUAUAAUUUUGCUAGAAAGUUUCAAAUUUAUGAUUUACAUCAAGGUGGCAAGUAUAAUUAAUAAAUAUAAUUUAGUAUAUGAAAAAAAGUAAGUAUAAAAUAGUUUCAAGAUAUCUUUUUUUUUAAUAUAAUAUUUUGAACAGGAAUAUAUAUUUUUAACGUUACUUGCAUAUCCUUGCAACAUAAUUUUUACACUUGACGUAAAUUAUUUUACAUACACGCAACAUAAAUCUCAAUUUAAUUUAAAUUCAGAUUUAUAUAUGGUAAGUUGUCAAAAAAUACAAUAAUUUUGAAAAUAUUAAAAAUUCUCUCGCAUGAAUUUUCCGAUGAAAUGCAAAAUGUUCACAAAUGUUUUUUUUUUUUAAAUUUGUCCAUCUUUUUCAUUUAUUUUACAUUGACAAAUGAAUAAUUAACUUUUAGAUUUGUUUAAAAACGAAUUUCCACUCGCUUUCACUUGUUCUAAGAAAUUUUGUAAAAAUCGUUAAUUAAUUAAAUUUACAAUUCUAGGUCUUCGAUGAAACGAGUAGCUGUCCAAUUUUUAUAGCAACCACGAAAUAUCGAAUGUAACCGGAUACUGAGAGUACAUAAAAGCGAACAAAGUGGAAAAUGGUCAGCAAGAUAGAUUCUUAGAUAUUGGUCCAGUUUUCCCUUUCUGACGUCGACGAACCGUAGCAGAAGCUGAUCGGUCGGCUUUGUGUCGAUCAUCGUCGAUAUUCUAUCCCUUACAACACCAGAACGGAGAGGAAAGGAAAAAGAGGAGGAUUGAGAAAGAAAAAAAGAAAAAAAAAAGAAAAAACGGAACGUUUCGACUCGAACCGAUACUUCCACCCCCGAGUUUUCAUCUCGAUUUACUACGAAAGAGCUUGUAUACUAUUUCGACUAUUUUCUUUUUCGUUGCUCGUUUAAUGUUUCCUCUUAUAGGAUAAAGAAAAUAUCUCUACAAUUUUAAAAUAGAAUUAUUUAAAAUAUUGUGUAUGUUCAUCACAACAGGAAAUUUAUUAAUAUGAAAAAGUAUUUCGAAUGGGAUUUAGCAAUUGAAACUAAUGGAUGGAAAUAUUCAAUUUAGCUAGAAAUUUAUUUUGAAACUCAAUUACGUAUAACUCUGACCCGAUGGAAGUUUAAUUGCUCUCGAUUCUAACGUUUUACUAAUCGAAUAUAUGUACAACUGACAAUUAUUCGAUGAACUAAAAAAAAAAAAAGAAACCAAAUAUAUAAAUAUAUAUAUCUUCAUUUGGAAAACCAAAAUGAUCCUUCCCUAACGACAUUAUCGAAUUAAAUAUAUUAAAUACCGAUAACAUUUUUCUACUAAACGUAACAACAACAUUAUAAUCCUUCCAAAUUCCUAUCCAUCCACAAACCCGUCGACCAUCCAGGUACCAACGCUAUAGUCACUCCCAUUACUAGAUGAAAUCCCAUAGAACAACACUCGAGACAAGUGUUUUUCCCGAUUUAAUUUUCUAAUUAGAGAGGAGGGAGGUUCAAUUAAAUCGUCGCCGGGGAAAAUCAAUAGCGUAGAAUGAGAGGAGAAUUUCAUAGGGAGGGAUAUCCCCCUGCUCGAGGAAUUCGUUAGGGAUCUUCUCCCCAUUGUACACGUGCGCGCAGCGCGCGUAAAUUCGCGGACCCUCGCGAAAUGGCCACUCGCCGUUUUAAACUGAAUCGAGGAGGAUGCAUGCCGGGAUUGGAACACGAGCUCAUACAUGUACGCUCGAAGAUUGGGCGACGCCUCAUUCGAUUAACCGGGAGGGUCGCGGAACAAAUCAACCGACUGAGUACGCACUGGAUAUUCAGAUGCAUCUCCCGAUGAGGGGGGGACUGCAAUUGCUAGAGGGCGCUUCUUUUGUCCGUGAUGGUCCAUGGCAAGACGGACGUGGACAAAGAGGUGAAAUUGAUAGAAUGUACAGGGUGAUUAAAAAGAAUUCUUAUCGUGGCUUUAAGAGGGUCGUUCGACAAACUUUGAAAGCACAAAAGCAAGAGGCAACGUGUUCAAUGAUUGAAUAGCAACGCAACAAACAUUUCAAACGUGCAUUUACAAUAAAAAGACUAUAAUAACGUUCAUAAAACAUAAAUAGAAAUAGAAAAACAAAAACAUGAUAUUUUCUUUUUAAAAUAACAUAUUUUAAAUUCGAGAUAAAAUUUAUUUUUCACUCACAGUUGAGAAAAGUAAAUUUCGAAGAUAUUCUUAUAAAUCAAAUAAAUUUUUUAAAGAUACCAUUUCCAAGUUCUUAAAAUGUAACCAUCGAAUAAAGUGGAAAAGAGAACAAAUUUAAAUCCACUGACUUAUUUUGACCAUUUAAUUAUCACAUAGGAAAAAUAAAUUAUCGAUUGAAAGAUUAAAAAACAAGAAACAUGCUCAAUUCUUUACAAUAUAUUAAUAAAAAUACGAGUUUUGAUGAAACGAUUUAUUGAAAUUUGAAACAUAUUUAAUGGAAAGCAGAUUUCAAAACUAUGCCGCACAUAGCUCGCCUGGGAAAUUAAUUGCGUAUGAAAGCGCGCCGUAACUAAGAAAAUUAUAGCUGACGUUAUCUGAUCGAGCUCGAGCUUUAAGCGAACCACGAUUAUUUGUGCGUUACCAUUUAGUUCCAGUGGUUGGCAGAAGUGGAGCAGAUUAGAAAAUGUUUCAUUGUCAAUUCUCAUUAAUUCAAUAAAUGCGAUUAAGGAUCGACGAACAAUAAUUUCUUCGAUAAUUUGAAAAAAGAAAAAUUCAACGAGAGAUCUACGAGUCCUCUCUUCUCAAUUUAUUUAAAAAUUUCUGAACUUCUAUUUAUCCCGUGAAAUAAAAUAUUAUGUAUAUAAAAUAACUGUAUAAAUAGGAAAUUUCGAUGGUUCUGUAGCACUGUCAUUAAACAUCGGUAAACAGCAUUAUCGUAACAAUUCUACCACGUCGACAUUAAUUACACAUCGGAAAUCGAUACAUUACACUGUAAUACGCGCGAAAAAUGUCACGCGUGGCUAACCAAGUUGAACGAGAGAGUAAACAUUGACUCGUCUGUUGAUCAAGUCACUUCAAUCAAUUGUAGAUUUUCAUAUGUAGUUGUUUCUGUCUCGUUCUGUCGCGGUAAAUAUUUGCCCAUUCCGUGAUACAACGAACGUUAGUAGAUUACAGAGAGUUUGCAACAUUUAGUUACACAGUCGUUAACGAAAAACGAAAUGGCAAGUCGUUAGUGAAACAUACACACAUACAUAAAUAUAUAUAUAUAUAUACGUACAUAAAGGAGAAAAAAAAAGAUUGGCAAAGCUAUAGAAUCGUUUACCAAAACCUUUUAUUUAGAAUAAUUGAUUUUAUUCUAUUUUCUAUUUCCGUCGUCUAUUCAUUUUUUCCCCAAAUCGACUUCCGUCACACAUCCAAUUCGAGCAAAUUGUUUUUGGCAGCGCGAUAUUUUCGAUAAAAUUGUUGAAAUCAUUUUGCCAUUUCGUUCACGUCAGCAUCGAAAAUGGAAUUCUGUAAAUAUGUAUCGAAUCACAUCGUUGGUCAAUUUAGAUAUUCGUUGCAAUUGUAAUGUUUAAUGCUUCCAUUAGCGUCUACAAUCUACGAAUGUAAGCGAUGAAAAUUAUUACAUAAUUGUUAUUGUUCGCGUUGUGAAAGUUUGAAGUUUCACCACGGAUAAAUGUACCGGUGUUUCAUGCACCAACCGGAUCCAAUUGUGCAUAGUUCUUGAAAGAUAAAAGAUGAAAUAAAGUUUGAUGGAAUAAA